rnacentral:rRNA from 1 species
AAUGAACGCUGGCGGCAUGCCUAACACAUGCAAGUCGAACGACAGCACAGUAAGAGCUUGCUCUUACGGGUGGCGAGUGGCGGACGGGUGAGGAAUACAUGGGAUACCACUUUGACGGGGGUGAUAACGUAGGGAAACUUAUGCUAACACAGCAUAUGUCCUACGGGUGUAAGCAGGGGUUCUUCGGACCUUGUGCGAUUGUAAGAGCCGAGGUCGGAUGAGAUAGUUGGCGGGGUAAAGGCGCAGCAAGGCGACGAUGCGUAGCUGGUCUGAGAGGGUGAUCAGCCACACUGGAACUGAGACACGGUCCAGACUCCUACGGGAGGCAGCAGUGGGGAAUCUUACGCAAUGGGCGAAAGCCUGAUCCAGCAAUACCGCGUGAGUGAUGAAGGACUUCGGCUUGGAAAGCCCUGUUGUUGGGAAAGAAAAAAAGCAGUUUUAUACCCGGCUGUUAUGACGGUACCGAAAGAAUAAGCACCGGCUAACUUCGUG